rnacentral:rRNA from 1 species
GACCUCGAAUCAGGUAGGAAUACCCGCUGAACUUAAGCAUAUCAAUAAGCGGAGGAA